GGAGAGAUGGCCGAGUGGUUCAAGGCGUAGCAUUGGAACUGCUAUGUGGACUCUUGUUUACCAAGGGUUCAAAUCCCUCUCUUUCCG
rfam:Gossypium raimondii Chr11_contig_568, whole genome shotgun sequence.